GUGCUUACACAUGCAAGUCGAACGAUGAUCCCAGCUUGCUGGGGGAUUAGUGGCGAACGGGUGAGUAACACGUGAGUAACCUGCCCUUGACUCUGGGAUAAGCCUGGGAAACCGGGUCUAAUACUGGAUAUGACCUUCUGGCGCAUGCCAUGUUGGUGGAAAGCUUUAUUGCGGUUUUGGAUGGACUCGCGGCCUAUCAGCUUGUUGGUGGGGUAAUGGCCUACCAAGGCGACGACGGGUAGCCGGCCUGAGAGGGUGGACGGCCACACUGGGACUGAGACACGGCCCAGACUCCUACGGGAGGCAGCAGUGGGGAAUAUUGCACAAUGGGCGCAAGCCUGAUGCAGCGACGCCGCGUGGGGGAUGAAGGCCUUCGGGUUGUAAACCUCUUUCAGUAGGGAAGAAGCGAAAGUGACGGUACCUGCAGAAGAAGCGCCGGCUAACUACGUGCCAGCAGCCGCGGUAAUACGUAGGGCGCAAGCGUUAUCCGGAAUUAUUGGGCGUAAAGAGCUCGUAGGCGGUUUGUCGCGUCUGCCGUGAAAGUCCGGGGCUUAACCCCGGAUCUGCGGUGGGUACGGGCAGACUAGAGUGAUGUAGGGGAGACUGGAAUUCNUGUGUAGCGGUGAAAUGCGCAGAUAUCAGGAGGAACG
rnacentral:rRNA from 1 species